UACGUAGGGACCAAGCGUUGUUCGGAUUUACUGGGCGUAAAGGGCGCGUAGGCGGCGUGACAAGUCACUUGUGAAAUCUCCGGGCUUAACUCGGAACGGUCAAGUGAUACUGGUCGUGCUAGAGUGCAGAAGGGGCAAUCGGAAUUCUUGGUGUAGCGGUGAAAUGCGUAGAUAUCAAGAGGAACACCUGAGGUGAAGACGGGUUGCUGGGCUGACACUGACUGAGGCGCGAAAGCUAGGGGAGCAAACGGG
rnacentral:rRNA from 1 species